AUACAUGCAAGUCGAGCGAAUGGAUUAAGAGCUUGCUCUUAUGAAGUUAGCGGCGGACGGGUGAGUAACACGUGGGUAACCUGCCCAUAAGACUGGGAUAACUCCGGGAAACCGGGGCUAAUACCGGAUAACAUUUUGAACCCCAUGGUUCGAAAUUGAAAGGCGGCUUCGGCUGUCACUUAUGGAUGGACCCGCGUCGCAUUAGCUAGUUGGUGAGGUAACGGCUCACCAAGGCAACGAUGCGUAGCCGACCUGAGAGGGUGAUCGGCCACACUGGGACUGAGACACGGCCCAGACUCCUACGGGAGGCAGCAGUAGGGAAUCUUCCGCAAUGGACGAAAGUCUGACGGAGCAACGCCGCGUGAGUGAUGAAGGCUUUCGGGUCGUAAAACUCUGUUGUUAGGGAAGAACAAGU
rnacentral:rRNA from 1 species